rnacentral:rRNA from 1 species
UUGGAGGGCAAGUCUGGUGCCAGCAGCCGCGGUAAUUCCAGCUCCAAUAGCGUAUAUUAAAGUUGUUGCAGUUAAAAAGCUCGUAGUUGAAUUUCGGGGUCAGUAGGUUGGUCAUGCCACAGGUAUGUACUGGUCUCACUGAUUCCCCCUUCCUGAUGAACUGUAAUGCCAUUAAUUUGGUGUUGCAGGGAAUCUGGACUGUUACUUUGAAAAAAUUAGAGUGUUUAAAGCAGGCUAACGCCUGAAUACAUUAGCAUGGAAUAAUGAAAUAGGACGUUCGAUCCUAUUUUGUUGGUUUCUAGGAUUGACGUAAUGAUUAAUAGGGAUAGUUGGGGGCAUUAGUAUUCAAUUGUCAGAGGUGAAAUUCUUGGAUUUAUUGAAGACUAACUACUGCGAAAGCAUUUGCCAAGGAUGUUUUCAUUAAUCAAGAAUGAAAGUUAGGGGAUCGAAGGCGAUCAGAUACCGUCGUAGUCUUAACCAUAAACUAUGCCGACUAGGGAUCGGAUGAUGUUAAUUUUUUAAUGACUCAUUCGGCGCCUUACGGGAAAC